UACGAAGGGGGCUAGCGUUGCUCGGAAUCACUGGGCGUAAAGGGUGCGUAGGCGGGUCUUUUAAGUCAGGGGUGAAAUCCUGGAGCUCAACUCCAGAACUGCCUUUGAUACUGAAGAUCUUGAGUUCGGGAGAGGUGAGUGGAACUGGCGAGUGUAGAGGUGAAAUUCGUAGAUAUUCGCAAGAACACCAGUGGCGAAGGCGGCUCACUGGCCCGAUACUGACGCUGAGGCACGAAAGCGUGGGGAGCAAACAGG
rnacentral:rRNA from 1 species